UACGUAGGGUCCAAGCGUUGUCCGGAGUUACUGGGCGUAAAGCGCACGCAGGCGGCGGUGCUGGCCCGGCGUGAAAGCCCCCGGCUCAACCGGGGAGGGUCGUCGGGGACCGCACCGCUUGAGGGCGGUAGGGGCUGGUGGAAUGCCUGGUGUAGUGGCGAAAUGCGUAGAGAUCAGGCGGAACACCCGUGGCGAAGGCGGCCAGCUGGGCCGUCCCUGACGCUGAGGCGCGAAGGCGUGGGGAGCGAACGGG
rnacentral:rRNA from 1 species